rnacentral:miRNA from 1 species
GGAACUAGCAGGAGCAUUAAG